UCCCGUUUGGUCAGUGGCCUGGUAUUUCUAGCUUGUCAGGAAGCCAACAGAAAACAGUCUGUGUCCGCUUCAGGAAGAGAAACUUUUCCAUUCUCUGAGAUAAGGCCUGUUGCCCUUGGUUCCCGGCCCAGAGGGGCACCAUGGGGAUGUUGUGAAGAGGCCAUAGGUGAUUCCGCUCACCUGUAGAUGGGGCCUGAUCGCUCCUUCCAGAACGCAGCGACUGUGUGCUCCCUGAACAGGGCCGGGCCCUUCUCUGACUGGCACAAAUGAGAAUUUCGGAGUUACUUCGUGGACGAUGGGUGUUACAUGGGCAUAGAAUAAUGGGAUGGGUGUUACACGGGAUGCUGAACUGCUUCUCAGAGAAUCUGUGGCCAUAAUCCUAAUUCCUCUUUCUUCCCUUGGACAAAUCAUUUAACUUCCCCAAGGCCUAUUUUUUUUUUAAAUCAUUUGAGAACUUUGAAUGACAUUACAAGUGUCUCUGAAAAUACAGGGCCAAAAAAAAAAAAAUGCAGAAAAAUUCAAUUUCUCUUUCCAUAUGUUAUUCUGUAGCCUUGGGCUGUAUCUGCGAUGUUCUUCCUUCUUUCCCCUUCCCCCAGCAAAUUCCUAUGCAUCAUUCAAGGUUCAGCUGAGAACACGCCUCCUCCAGGAAGCCCUCCCAUACUCCAGCAGUCUGACAUGGCUGCCCUUCUCUGUCUUCCAUAAUGUCCAGGCUUCUUUUUUCUAUGGCACCAAGGGUCUAUUUCAUUAAACAGUGAACUCCUAGCUGGUCAAAUGGGCCUUGGUCACUUCUGGACUCCCAGAACCCAGGCAGGCAAGGCCUGGCACGUGGUAGGUUCUCAAAAAAAACAGCUUGUCGAACAAAUGAAUCGUAAAGUUGAAUUCCGUAAUCCAAGCCAUAUUUUCUCAUUCGCUCUCAGUAUUGCAUACAGAUUUUACCAAUAGAAAUAAACGAGUGAAAGGUUGUGAGAUCAGGGAAUUGGGUCAGAAAGCAAGGCGAGGGGCAGGAGGUGCUACCUCCCAAACGCACCAGGCCCUCAACUCUAGGCAACCUCACUAAAUGGCAGAGCAACCCGGGGAUGGAAAGGAUAACCUUUCUGUCCCUUGCCAAGCUGUAAAAAGUGAUGGCAAGACAUCAUGCCCUAAUCUCCCUCCUCAGAUCACGCCAGCUUGUGGAAUUUAACCAAGAGGAUGUUGAUAAAUCCCAGAGCAAGGUUGGAGGACGAAGUCAAUGUCCGGCAUCAGCCGGGCUCUGGAUCCCCAAAACUGCAGAGUCAUGCUGAGUCUAGAAGAGGGUUUUGCAGACUAACUGAGACGCAUGCGAGUGAGGUGCCUGGCGUGGAGUAGCACACAUUGCCUCCUCCUCCCACGGCGGACAUCGGGUUCUCCAUCUUUCAGAUAAGGAAGUUGGAGGACAUGACUACCAAGGCCGCUUUCAGCUCCAACCUUCUGCCAUUCCACCAAACUGCAGGAGCAAAAAAAGGUCCCACCUUGCAUGAGAAAGCGGAUGGUCACCCUCCCUCCAGGCCAUGGGGCCCCUCCACAGACCUGCCAUCUAGCCAAGCUGUGUGACCUCACCACUGAGGUCAUUUCAAGGUGGCUCACUCCCUUCAGAGAUCAUCUAACACAGAUGUUAUCCCCUAUUUCGCUGCUGCCCGUGGGGACAUGGCUAUCAAGAUAACAGAAGGAAGAUCAGAAGGCGCCAGGCCCAGGUGCGUCCACCGCCAUCACCGAGGAGGGACGCAACUCUGUUUUGCACCCCCGGGGGGACACUUUUCCUCCUUCUCCACAAUUCUCUUGCCCAAUUUUUAUCUGAAGGCAUACCCCCGCCAUAUCAGCACCCCCCCUCACCCAGAGCUGCCCCUGGUAGUGACUCCCAAGGCCUCGAAGUGGCUUCGGUCUGAGGACAGGCACAUGGGAGCCAAGAACAUGGUAUGCCAGACAGACUGAAGCUCCUCAUCCCUCGGGCUGAUUGUUCUCUGUGGUUACCACACCACGACAGAAGAAACUUGAAGGAAGGUUUAGGAUGCCACAGAUAGUUGAACUGCUGAUGUUUGGACAUUUUUUUCCUCCUCAGCCAGCAAUUCUGUGGUUUUUCUUAUUGCAUUGAGAGGGGGAAAAAAUGCCUUCUAGGGCACUUCAUGUUUGCAACGGUCUAUCAUUUUGUUACUCCCACCACUGUGUGCCUUAGAGGUACAUCAAGGACACAAGCACCGGGCCCAUUUUACAGGUGGUGAAACUAAGUUCAGAUAAGGGAGGAAAUGCUGGUCUUUAAGUUGAUCUAGCUAAGCAGGCUUCCUUUAGAAAUAAUCAAGCCUUUGACCAAAUUGUUCACACACACACACACACACACACACACACACACACACAGACACAUUCAAACCCGUUCUCUCUCUCUCUCUCUCUCAGACACACACACUCACACUUCACACAAACUCUACUGUUCCCCAGGGGACUUCAUAUGGUUUGCCUGCUCUGGUUUUACUCAUGAUACUUUCCUACUUCCUGGCUAUAAAUACACCAAGGUCAAACCUGUCUUGGUUUCACUCGACCAGCCAAAGAAGCAGUUACUCCAAAACAGACAGCAGGGAGCAACCAGCAAAGGGAGAGGCGACAGAUUUGCUCCGUCACUCUUGGUCCCCCAAAGGCUUGGGCUGAGCAAGCAAGGGCCCAAAAAUCACUCUCCUUUUGAGAUCCCACCUCCCACCGACUGGCUAAGGCAAGGCCCCGUCCUUGCCAGCCACGGGUCCCGCUGUGAAAACCCACCUCCAGCCUUUUGACGCGGGACUUCAAGGCCAUACCCCAGAGAAGCCAUUUCUCCUCACUACUGCUGUCUUCCUCUUUACUCAUAUGCAGAGUAAAUUCUUCCUCCAUUCCUCCUAGACUUUGAAUCAAUGCUUCUUUUGCUCUUGUUGUUGUGGUUGUUUAUUAAGAUAUAACUCUAGCAGUAAUGUUAUUACAGAGUAGUGACAUUAGCAAGUACUUCCUGGGUGCUUGCUAUGUAUCCAGAGCCCUGCAUUCAUGACCCUAUAUAAUCUUCUCAACAGUCCUAGAGUAUAGGUACUACUGGUGGUAAGUACUGCUGUCACCAUCAGCGUACAGAUGAGGAGACUGGCCCGGAAGGUUAGGUCACGUGCCCAGAGUCACACAGCCACUAGAUGUGAACGGAGGUCCUGAACCUUAUCCACCACAACAUCAUGCCCCCUCCUGCCCCACAGCAUCGGUGGUCCCAGGGCUGCCCAAACGGAACAUGACUGCCAACAGGUGCUGGCAGUUGCUACCUGACCCAAAAGGGGUGAGGGAAGGGGAUUCUGGGUCAAAUAAGUUUCAGAAAUACUCCAUGUCCAUGGUUCUCAAACUGUUGGGUUUCGGGAACCUUUUGCAGCCCUUAAAAAUUUCUAUUAUUGGGGUGCCUGGGUGGCUCAUUCGGUGAAGCAUCUGGCUUCGGCUUGGGUCAUGAUCCCGGGGUCCUGG